GUAGUCUGCAACUCGACUACAUGAAGCUGGAAUCGCUAGUAAUCGCAGAUCAGAAUGCUGCGGUGAAUACGUUCCCGGGUCUUGUACACACCGCCCGUCACACCAUGGGAGUCGGAAAUGCCCGAAGCCGGUGACCAAACCAAUAAGGAAGGAGCCGUCGAAGGCAGGUCUGAUAACUGGGGUGAAGUCGUAACAAGGUACC
rnacentral:rRNA from 1 species